rnacentral:rRNA from 1 species
CCCUAGUGACCGAUAGUGAACCAGUACCGUGAGGGAAAGGUGAAAAGCACCCCGGCAGGGGAGUGAAACAGUUCCUGAAACCGUGUGCCUACAAGUAGUUAGAGCCCGUUAAUGGGUGAUAGCGUGCCUUUUGUAGAAUGAACCGGCGAGUUACGAUUUGUUGCAAGGUUAAGCGGAAAAAGCGGAGCCGUAGCGAAAGCGAGUCUGAAUAGGGCGCAUAAGUAACAGGUCGUAGACCCGAAACCAGGUGAUCUACCCAUGUCCAGGAUGAAGGUAAGGUAAUACUUACUGGAGGUCCGAACCCACGCACGUGGAAAAGUGCGGGGAUGAGGUGUGGGUAGCGGAGAAAUUCCAAUCGAACUUGGAGAUAGCUGGUUCUCUCCGAAAUAGCUUUAGGGCUAGCCGCGAGGUAAAGAGUCAUGGAGGUAGAGCACUGUUUGGACUAGGGGCCCUUCUCGGGUUACCGAAUUCAGAUAAACUCCGAAUGCCAUGUACUUAUACUCGGGAGUCAGACUGCGAGUGAUAAGAUCCGUAGUCGAAAGGGAAACAGCCCAGACCACCAGUUAAGGUCCCCA